UCCUGUCAGUGUUCCGAGCUGCCAAUAAAGUUACUCUCGGAGCCGACCGGAAAACGCGCCGUAAUCCGCGCCGCGACCGUCGUAAAAGUGCCGGUCUCCCCUGGUGACUAGCAACGCGGGGGAGAUGGCGGCGCUGGUGGCGACCGAGGCCGCGGCGUCCCCGGACCCGGCGGAAGCCGCCGAGACGGCCGAGGCGGCGGAGCUAAGCCGCGUACUGAGCCGCAUGCUGCCCGGUCUGGAGGCCGACAGCAAGCUGGGCCGGCGGCGCGCGCUGGAGGCGCUGCAGCGCACCCUGGAGGCGGCGCGGCCCGAGGCGCCCGACGGCGACCCCGCCGCCGCAGCCGCCGCCUUUCAGGGCCCGUGGGCGCGCUUGCUGCUGCCGCGCCUGCUGCGCUGCCUGGCCGACCCGGCCGAGGGCUGCCGCGCGCUGGCCGUACACCUGCUGGACUUGGGCCUGCGGCGAGCCGCCCGGCCCCGUGACGCCCUCCCGCGCCUGCUGCCCGCUCUCGCCGCGCGCCUGGCCGGCCCCGAGCCCGCGCGCCGCCCACCGCCCGAGGUCUGCGAGGAGCUGCGCCUGGCGCUAGUGCAGCUGCUCCACCUGGCCGUACGCCUGAGCGGCGCUGCGCUCGCGCCCCACCUGGACGACGCGGUGCGCGUGCUGCGCUGCACGCUGCUUGACCCCUUCGCCGCCGUGCGCCGAGAGAGCUGCGAGUGCGCCGCGGGCCUGGCGCGCGCCACGCCAGACCACUUCCACAUGCAGUCGGAGUCCUUGAUCGGCCCCCUGAUGCAGUCCAUCUCCCACCAGCACUGGAAGGUGCGGGUGGCCGUCAUCGAGGCCACGGGCACAGUGAUCCAGUUUGGCAGCGGGAAGUCAGUGGACGACGUCCUUCCUCACUUUGCUCAGCGGCUCUUUGAUGAUGUCCCCCAGGUGCGCCAGGCAGUGGCGCGUGUGGUCGGGGGCUGGCUGCUGCACCUGCGGGACCGCUACUCAUUCUUGCACAAGCUCAUCCCGCUUCUCCUGAGCAGCCUCGACGACGAGAUCCCCGAGAUCGCGUGCGAGGCAGCCGGCCUCUGGGAGCAGGUCGGGCUGCACUGGCAGAUGGAGAACGAGGAGGACCUCAAGGACAAGCUGGACUUCGCUGGCCCGCCCCCCGCACACCACCCCUCGCCAGGGAGCCGCCCGGGGCUGGGCUGCCGGGAGCUGGUGUUCAGAAACCUCUCCAAGAUCCUUCCCGCCAUCUGUCACGACAUCACCGACUGGGUGGUGGCGACCAGGGUGAAGUCGGCACAGCUGCUGGCGGUACUGCUGCUGCACGCGGAAGGCCACAUCACGCAGCACCUGGAGCCCGUCCUGCGCACCCUGCUCCACGCCUGUGCCGACGAGGAGAAGGCCGUGGUCCGCAGUUGCACGAGAUCUGCAGAGCUGAUCGGGACCUUCGUCAGCCCGGAGGUGUUUCUGAAGUUGAUCUUGUCGAUGCUGAGGAAGUCUCCCUCCCCCUCCGGCCUCCUGGUCUUUGCCUCCAUCAUCCGAGGCUGCCCGAGGGAGGCCCUCCGGCCGCACGUGAAGGUCAUCGCCGUGGAGUUGGCCCACGCUCACAUCUGCCAGGGGUCUGAAAAUCGACUGUACGGGGAGCGCCUGCUGCAGUGCGUGCAGGCCGUGGUGUCCGUGAGCCGGGAGGACUGCCGAGGGGCCGGCGUGCCGCUCAUGGAGGUGCUGGUGACUGUCCUGGCGCUGUGGGGACCCACGGGGCUUGGUGCCAAGGUUCAGGAGGCGCUGGCCGAGCUGGCUGCGGUGGAGAGCGUGGACGGCAGCCAGGACCUCUUCCGAGCGCACGUGGGCGCCCUCCUGGAGCGGCUGGCUGCCUCGCACCGGGACUGGACCGGCCACUCCACGGGGUUCCUGCAGUUUGACGUGGUGCUUGCUCACUCAGGCCCUGCCCUCGGAGAAGCCUUGCCCCAGCUGGUCCCCAUCCUCAGGAGCUGCCUCCAGCCAGCCCGGGACCCACCCAUGCGCCUGAAGCUCUUCUCCACCCUGUCGGGGCUGCUGCUGGGAGCCCGGGAGACGGUGGACUCGCAGGGACAGUUCCAUGGCUACCUGGACACCCUGAUCAAGGACAUCUUCGUCCCCAAUCUGCAGUGGCACGCGGGGAGGACGGCUGCGGCCAUCCGUACAGCGGCUGUGUCCUGCCUCUGGGCGCUUGUCAGCAGUGGAGUCCUGUCAGAUGAGCAGAUACAGGAAGUGCAGGAAAUGUUGAUGCCUCAAAUUCUAACCACCCUGGAAGAAGAUUCUCAGAUGACUCGAUUGAUUUCAUGCCGAAUCAUUAACGUGUUUUUAAAGACCUCUGAUGGUGUGAUAGAUGCAGACAAAUUCAUCAAGAUUUAUCCUGGUAGGACAUUCUUCUUUUCCAAUCAUACGCCUCUGUUUGUUUGGUAGGAAAAAUAGAAAAUGCUGCUUUGACUUCUGGUCAGGUCGGUGCUAUGAGUCUAAACGUGGAUGUGACAGGUAUGACGUCACUGAAUGUCACUGAAUAAGUAACGUAGCACAAGAAACAGGACAGACGUCUUGUGGACUGGAAUUGCGGGCUGGGUGGGAGCAUAGACGCCCACGGCGGCUGGGGUACCACCCCGUGGCCUCCGGUGUGAGGGCUGCAGCCCUGCCUCACGUCCCCCGUGUGAUUGCCUCUUGGAGCCGGAGAGCACCGAUGAGUCCCGGCCACAGAAGUGAAACCCGGCCCCGAGCGGAGCAGCGUCGCUGGAGGUGGGCCUGCAGCCGAGAAGCUCAGGGGCUGGUGGGUGUGCCCACGCCGGGGGUGGCGGGGGGAGGUGGAAGGUACAGGCCCUCAGUGCCAUCUUUUCCACGUGUGGUUGGGAUCGCGGAAAUCUGCAAGGGUAACAGCCGUUCCAAACAAGUUGAGCACUUCCUGCGGCAGGGGCCACGUCUGGCCCCAAGGGUGGCAAGAAGCAGCCCCUGAAGCAGCCCAGGAGGCAGACGAGGAAGACCAGGCUUGCCGGCAGAAACAGGAGCCGAAGAAACUGGAGGAGCUGAGAGCUGAGGCCGCGGGAAGGACCCUGCCCACAGGCGGGAUUAACAAAUGUGGCAAAAAGCUGUUCCUCACGCCUGAGGCAGUGGCGACCCUUAGCCCCUCCUGUGUGAACAUCUGGAUUCCCUGCCAUAACAUCUGUUGCCACCUACAGCUAGAAUGAAGUGUUAUCUUGGAACCUACUGCAUGUGAAGCGUUUCUGCGGAUCAGGAAGGACUGUUAGUCCACUUUCAGCGGUGGGACAUCUGGUCCCAGAGGCUCAGCAGAAACACAGCUGAUGUAGCUGGUGGCCGUCGUGUCACCGGGCCCUCAGCUCUGUCCCCAGAGCCACGGUGGGCAGAAAGCGGGGUCAGCAGACGUCCUUCCUGUGCUGUCUGCUCCUUGGGGAGGAUGGGGUGUGAGGCCUGUGUGUGACUCUGAGUCUGAGCAUCUCGGAGCCGGGGGGACCCCAGCCGCCUUGCAGGUCAGAGGGCGAAGACGCCCACGCCGGGUGUGAAGCACACCUUCACUCCGUGUCCAUGGAGUCCACCCCUGGGCCAGAGUGGCUGAGGGUCCCGGAACACCCGCUACCACCAGCCCCUCCCCAGCACCCGCCUGUGGGUUUCCCAGGCCAGGAGCCGGUGCUCCACAAGUGCUGAGAGCUUAGCUGGGAGCCGCCUGCCCUGGAACCUCUCCUCACACUCCUGUCUGGUCCCUCCUUGCAGAACUCUUAAAACGCCUGGAUGACGUUUCCAAUGAGGUGAGGCUGGCGGCCACCACCUCCUUGGUCACCUGGUUGGAGCGUGUCGGGAACGAGGCCGGCAAGUGCUAUUACCAGA